UGCGUAGGUGGGCAAGUAAGUCAGUGGUGAAAUCUCCGAGCUUAACUCGGAAACUGCCGUCGAUACUAUUUGUCUUGAAUGUCGUGGAGGCAGGCGGAAUAUGUCAUGUAGCGGUGAAAUGCUUAGAUAUGACAUAGAACACCAAUUGCGAAGGCAGCUUGCUACUCGAUGAUUGACGCUGAGGCACGAAAGCGUGGGGAUCAAACAGGAUUAGAUACCCUGGUAGUCCACGCCCUAAACGAUGAUUACUCGACAUCAGCGAUAAACUGUUGGUGUCUGAGCGAAAGCAUUAAGUAAUCCACCUGGGAAGUACGACCGCAAGGUUGAA
rnacentral:rRNA from 1 species